rnacentral:lncRNA from 1 species
GUGUUUUCUUUCCUUUUAAUUACAGGUGGAACCCAAAGGAUUUAAAUUUUCUUCAUUCUUUAGAAAAUUUUAUAGGAAGGACUCAAGUCCCCCCCAGGCUCCAGAGAAACCUUCAGCCCUUAAAGGUGCAUCCAAAGAAACCCAACCAACUAUUAAAACAGGAAGUCAGAGUACACCUGAAAUUAAAGAAAUAUUUUGUAGAAAAGAAGAGUUUGAAUAUCAUGAUGAGGGGUCCUGGGAAGAAUACCAAAGCUAUUUCCCACAUGGUAUCCAUGUUCCAGAAUCCAGAGAAUCCAUUGCUUCCACC